rnacentral:rRNA from 1 species
AUUGAACGCUGGCGGCAGGCUUAACACAUGCAAGUCGAGCGGAGAGAGGUAGCUUGCUACUGAUCUUAGCGGCGGACGGGUGAGUAAUGUUUAGGAAUCUGCCUAUUAGUGGGGGACAACAUUUCGAAAGGAAUGCUAAUACCGCAUACGUCCUACGGGAGAAAGCAGGGGAUCUUCGGACCUUGCGCUAAUAGAUGAGCCUAAGUCGGAUUAGCUAGUUGGUGGGGUAAAGGCCUACCAAGGCGACGAUCUGUAGCGGGUCUGAGAGGAUGAUCCGCCACACUGGGACUGAGACACGGCCCAGACUCCUACGGGAGGCAGCAGUGGGGAAUAUUGGACAAUGGGCGGAAGCCUGAUCCAGCCAAGCCGCGUGUGUGAAGAAGGCCUUAUGGUUGUAAAGCACUUUAAGCGAGGAGGAGGCUACUUUAGUUAAUACCUAGAGAUAGUGGACGUUACUCGCAGAAUAAGCACCGGCUAACUCUGUGCCAGCCGCCGCGGUAA